GCAGGCACCAAUUUCCAUGAUUUACAACGAGCAACAGUUCUCGUCCGAUCACCGAAGUUAAGCAACGUCGAGCCUAGUGAGUACUUAGAUGGGUGACCGCUUGGUAAACCUAGGUGCUGUACGCA
rnacentral:rRNA from 1 species